AGAUAUAUUUGUAUCUUUAGGCCAUCUGAAAUUAUAUUCUAAGUAUUAUUUUUUCAGAAUACUAACACUUUGGUUACCACAUAAGCAGCUGAAAAUCGUAGGGUUGGCAGAAGGUCCUACCUCCCCUUAGCUUCCUAGAUCCUAAUCCGCCUGAGUUGCCCUCAUUAACCGCGUAAUUGACACACAUACGAAUCGAAAUGUAUCCGAAUUCAAUGGCGAGUACCUUCAAUUGCCGCGUCCCGCAUUCGCAUUCAAGGAUUUUUCUUCCCAGGCUCUCAAAACGGCAAACACCCACUUUCUCACCCACCGCUGCUGGUACCCACAUAAAAUAAAGUUAAAUAAGUACUUGGUGGUUACGCAUUGACGUCAUCGACCGGAGGAAUCAAUUAAUUUCACUUUAAACUCUACGGAUAGAGGAAAGGACUCUGGGAAAAUGCAAUCCUUUUGCGAGGGGUUGGCUGUAAAUCUUAGAUCUUAGAUGAAGAGGGGCUCUCCAGAUGGGUCAUCGCCUUCUCACACUCUUCUACGGAUUGAAUUGCAUGCAUGUUUCUCGUUUUUCCACAAUUUUUAAUUAGCAGUAAACUUUGCGCGGCCCCGAAAAACAAAAGAACCCGAAACCAAUUCGAUUUGAAACCGAACCGAAAAGUAAUGACAGCAUAAAUACUUUUCAGAGUGGUGGUUCUGCAUUGUGUACAGAAUUUGGUGGUGCAGAGUGAUGCACAUUUUGGGGUCGCCACAAAACAUCGGACUCUCGCAAUCGGAAUAGGAAUCCAAAUCGAGAUCUCAAGUGUUCUCUGUUCUGCGGCCGCCUCUGCCUCAUUUCGUUUAACACUUUAUGUGACAUUUAAGUGCCGGGGAGAUGUCAAAUUUCCUCCUCCCCGUCUCCAAAAAUGCAUGUACCGCGGUCUGAGCCCCAUUUUCCCCCAAGAUUUUUCAAGGGGUUAGAACUUGAUUGGGGCGGUGGUUUAGUCAAGUGUCUGGCUUUUGUGUGGGAAGAUUUUCCCCCCUCGGGAAAAGUGUUCCUCUCAGGCGCAAAGUGCGAUUCCUGGUUGGAUUUUCAUGGA